AGUAAACAACACCAUCGAGCUUAUGCAACUCGAUAUGUUCCAACGCAGUGUUCCUCUGGUGAACACCUCUAUCCUUAAUACUCGUCGUGUUCCUCUUGCAAACCAAGUGCCUAUACAUCACCCCAGUCUUCCUCAGAAUCUCCGAGGUCUCAAACGACGCCGCAUUCCCCUCCACCACUAUCCACAGCACAGGAGGCUCCACUAGCCUCAGCGUCUGAGCAACUCUGUUCAAGUAAUACGCCUGCAUCGCUCGGUUGUACGUUGGCGUCACCACGAUUACAAGCUUCCUCGGCGCAAAAUCCUCCUCCUUCUUAUUCUUCGAUUCCGCCGAGAAGCUUACUCCGUCCACGGCUACCUCUUCCCGUCGUUUCAACGAUUCUUCGACGUUCGGCGGUUUGAUCUCGAAAUUGAACCGAUCGGUGCCGUUCACGUCAUCGAUUUGACCGUACGGUGUCAUACCUAAUACGAAUCCGAUGAGGAAGAAAGCGAGGAAUUGGUAAAACGGUCGUCGCCAUGGACCUCUGCGGGAGGCUUUGGGAUCAGAGGAGGAGCUGUGUUUGCCGCUGCUCUUCUGAGAGGGGGAUGAUGACGUGGAGGAGGGGGAGAACGGUGCGCCUCCGUUCUCGUAAUGACGAUCGUGGUACACCGGCGAGAGAGUUCGCCGGAUUGAAGCCAUCUCAGAUUAUGCUAAACAUUGAUAAGCAGUUUCCAGAGAUUCAGAGCGCCGAUUCGAAGGAGCUGAUGAAGCUCAAGUCGGAAUCAGUCAAGGUCGUGGAGUUUAACUCUUUUAAGUCGCCGAUUCGGAUCCGUCGCCGCCGAGAUCUAGAAGAGAGCUGGAGGGGAAGUUGCGGAGAGAGAGAGAGAGAGAGAGAGAGAGAGAGAGAGAGAGAGAGAGAGAGAGAGAGAGAGAGAGAGAGAGAGAGAGAGAGAGAGAGAGAGAGAGAGAGAGAGAGAGAGAGAGAGAGAGAGAGUGUUGUCUCCUGCUUGGAAACACAACAUUGCAUGUUGUAUAAGAAGAUUAAUAAAGAGGUUUUGACCGAGAGAAAUCCACAGAUAAGGGGAAAAAAACACAUACUUGGAAACCUUCCUUCACGGUGUCUAGUUGGCGGGUUGGAUGUGAGAAGGGACGUCGCCAUCUUUUGGGGUCCCAGAGUAUAGUGCUGUUGAAAGCAAAUCCAGACAUAUCAACAUGGAACCUGCGUAGUCUUUUGCUCUUCUCAUUAGUGUGCCAUCCAAUUACUUGACUUCCGUUGCAUACUGGACCUUCAAGAAUUGCCUUGUUCUUGCUUGGCGCUAGCAUUGCAACAGGCCAAGUUCCAAAUCGUCUACACAGAACAAAAAGAAAUAUAUAAGUAUGAUAGAUUAAAAUGGGGGAAACAUACUUCAGAAGAAGUUUCACUCUGGAGUUGAAUAUGAAGCCGUCAGCAUUCACACUCAAUGGAAAGAAGAAAAUGCUCAGAAGACCAACAAAAGCAGGUACAUAGAGAAGUUCAAUAAAACCCUUUCCAAUAACAAGAAAUGAAGUAUUUUCUCAAACAAGAUAGGCUGAGCACAUGGAAGAGCAAGUAACAAAGCAGAGAAACAGUAAGAAUUGUAAUAUGCUACUACAAUUGAGUGUCAAACCAUAGCACUAACAACACUACAAUCACUGAGACUACUAUUACUGAGACUGCACAAUAAGAUGAAGACAAUAUAGUUCUGCUCAACUAACAAUUCAAAACAUAAGCAACACUAGAAUCACUAAGACUGCACAAUGAUGAAGACAUUAUAGUUCUGCACAACCAGCAACGAUCUAAUAUCUCUAUUCCCCACAAACCACUAGGUCGAAUCUAUGAAACAUUACAUCCACUACCACAAAUCAAAAGCAAAGAUCCACACUUUUUGCCUCACCUUAUGUGUCUCAAGCUCUGAAACAGCUCAAGCGAGUAGAUAUUAUCAUCAUCAGCAAAGUAAACAACACCAUCGAGCUUAUGCAACUCGAUAUGUUCCAACGCAGUGUUCCUCUGGUGAACACCUCUAUCCUUAAUACUCGUCGUGUUCCUCUUGCAAACCAAGUGCCUAUACAUCACCCCAGUCUUCCUCAGAAUCUCCGAGGUCUCAAACGACGCCGCAUUCCCCUCCACCACUAUCCACAGCACAGGAGGCUCCACUAGCCUCAGCGUCUGAGCAACUCUGUUCAAGUAAUACGCCUGCAUCGCUCGGUUGUACGUUGGCGUCACCACGAUUACAAGCUUCCUCG
rnacentral:lncRNA from 1 species